rnacentral:rRNA from 1 species
AAAUGAAUUGACGGGGGCUCACACAAGCGGAGGAGGAUGUGGCUUAAUUCGAGGCUACGCGAAGAACCUUACCUGGGCUCGAAGUGCUUGAGAAUACUUCCGAAACGAAGUAGUGCCUUUCGGGGAGCUCUUGCAUAGGUGCUGCAUGGCUGUCGUCAGCUCGUGUCGUGAGAUGUCGCGUUAAGUCGCUUAACGAGCGAAACCCUUGUCUUCAGUUGCCAGCGCGUAAUGGCGGGGACUCUGAAGAGACUGCCGGUGUUAAACCGGAGGAAGGUGGGGAUGACGUCAAGUCCUCAUGGCCUUUAUGUCCAGGGCUGCACACGUCCUACAAUGCGGCGUAUAAAGCGAUGCAAAACCGCGAGGUCGAGCAAACCGCACAAAGCGCCGCCCAGUUCGGAUUGCAGGCUGAAAUUCGCCUGCAUGAAGCCGGAUUCGCUAGUAAUCGCGGGUCAGCAUACCGCGGUGAAUGUGUUCCUGAGCCUUGCACACACCGCCCGU